UGAAAUAGAAAUUUAGUGAAGUAGAAAGUUGGGGUUGACAGAGUAAGGAUUAGGGGAGUGGAGAGGAAAGAAGUGAGGUUUCACGAUUGAGUCUUGACGCAAAGAGUUGAAGCAGAGAAAGCUAAGAGCGAUAACAGAAAAGGGAAAAUGACGAUGGACGACGAUAGUUCCAUAUAUGUUGGGGGUCUUCCCUACGACGCCACCGAAAAUACCAUUCGCACUGUCUUCAAUUUGUAUGGCGCCAUUCUUGAUGUCAAGAUUAUCAAUGACCAACGCACUAGGGGCAAGUGCUAUUGUUUUGUUACUUUCACUAAUCCUAGGUCAGCAAUUGAUGCCAUCAACGACAUGAAUGGCAGAACCAUUGAUGGGCGUGUAGUUAAAGUUAAUGGGGUGAGGAGUCGUGGGGGCAGGUCAAAUUUUGGCAGAGAACGUUAUUAUUAUCAUAAUGGUGAUUGGGAUCGUGGUAGAGAUCGAGACAGAGAUUAUGAUCAUGAUAAUAACGAUAAGGAUGGAUAUAGAAAUCGGAGCAGUGAUUGGACUCGAGACCGUGAUAGGUCUCGUGACCAGGACAGGGAUAGAAGAUUUGAACAUAUGCAUGAUUAUGAUCAAACAAGAGAACCUAUGUUAGAUAGUGAUUGGGGUCGAGAGGAUGAUCGGGCUGAAACUGAACAAGAAAACAGCAGGGAUCAUGAUGGAGAUGUGGAUAGAGACCACGACUUAGAUUUGGACACAGACGGGAAGAUGGAUAGGGUCAGUGAUCCUGAUAGAAGUUUUGAUGAGGAUACAGAAGAACAGCCAAGGAGAAACAAUGAUUUGAAUGUCACUAAUCAGCAUAGCAUGGAUCUUGCAUCGGAUUCAAAUGGUACUGACAAUGAUCAGGUAGAAGAUGAAUUAGAGAGGUCAAAUCAACAGAUUGAUCAACUAAAAGGGGAGAGAGUGGAAUUUCUUGGCAUGUCAGGUUUCUCAGAUGGAAGAGGGAUUGGAAGAGAAAAGGCUUCAGGUCAUGGAGUUACAAAAGCAAUCUAAGAAACUGGAAGAUGCGCUGAUCAAUGCGAAAAAACACACUUCAUAUCGUCAGAUGCAGUUGACCAAGCUACAUAAAUGUUUUCUGCAAGUGAAAGAUUACACAGAAAGACUUAAGACUAGUGAAAAAGAGCUUCAGGCUCUAAUUGAUGCAGCAAUGUCAGAGAUUGAUGGUGAUAGAUUAAAGGAUGGACAACUUGCAAAUGGAAGUGUUGAUGGUAGAUAGUAAUUUAUCUUUGGGAGGUUCAGAUUGUGUCAUUGAUGCUUAAAAAUGGGUUUAGCAUACAGUAGCUUAUCUUAUAUGAAGAAGGAAAAAGGGCUGGCCUAAGGAUCUUCUUUUAUUUUUCCUUUCAACUCCUCUCUAGUCUCUACUGAAUAACAUCAAUAGAGUUUUGUUUAUAUUGUUAACUUGAUGGUAAACCUGGUCAUUGUAACUUAUAAAAAAAUUUCACUAGAAAACCAAGCUGCUCGUGGUACUUUUUAAGCUCCUUCACUCGACUUUAUUGCAUAACCUGAUGUUUCUUAUCCACCAGCUUGGAUCUCGGCCUAAAGGACGUACAGAUUAGCAUAUAGCUCACUUGCCAUCUGUGCUCUUCUGUGGUCGGGAUUUGGGGCCAUCUAGUUCACUCUCUUGCGCAGUACUGAUCAUAUAUUGACUAUCCCGCUUUCUUCCUUUUGCCAAAGCCCCCCUCCUUCCGAAUGGUGCAUUGGUUCCGAGUCCGUUAGCUACUUGGCAUGGACUACACAUCAGCGAUUUCGGACACUACGAAAAAUAGAGAUCGAGUUAAUAUGCCCUUCAUUCAAAACUUUGUUUGCAGAAUACUGUCCAAUCUAGAAAGAUAUUUGCUUUUUUUCUUUUUUCUAACUCUUUCGAUCUACUUGUGUGUGUUUAUGAUACAACGGUAAUACUCAAGGUUGAACUUGAAACAUGUAAAUUACCGUCACAAACCUGGAACGUUAUUCUAAGACGUAAUCUGAAUUUUGAAUCAGUAUAACUCUUUUGUUUUGGGUCGACGAUUGUAAAAUAUUUGCUUGAUUUGGGGCGAAUUAUAAAUUGGGCCUUCCUAGUUUACUGGUUUAG